GCCCACCUGAGACUCAAGGACUGGGACACCUGUCCCUCCUCCUCCACCCACGCUGCGGGGAACUGCAUGGCUCCUCCGGGCGGGGACCAUAGCUUUCCGCCUCAACGUACCUGGGGCUCGGCAUGCUGCGUUGAAUUUUGGAGUGGAUGAGGAGUGAGGGUGUGGCAGGGCGGCUGGAGCUGCCCAACUGCUGAAACUGCUGCAGGUGCCACAGCGGCUGGCUCCCUGAAAGCGUCCUCCUGCCUCUGAGACCGUAGCGCAGGAGGGUGCGAGUGCACCUCCGCAAGGCCUGACGCUGCUGAUCCACUUCCUCUCCCCACGAUGGGGACACACUUGGCGACAGUUCCAUCUGGGGUAAAAGACCCACCAAAAGGUCGCUGGCAUGGGCACUCCAGGGACACCAAAGUGGAGUCUGGGAGACCCCUCGGCUUGUGCGGGGAGCAUUCCUCCCCGAAAUGCUCGUCCACUUCUGGUUACAGCAAUCUUUGAGGGCAGGGAGGGUGGCCAGCAGGGGGCAUUGUGGAGCAAGCACGUGGGCCUCGGAUCCAAGCCUGGGUUCAAAUCCGGGCUGUGGGACGUCCUCACCAAGUCUCGAUUUCCUCCCGUAAAUGAGGGAUGCUGGCGCCCCUCUCGCUGUGGGGGAAUAGGGCUUCCAGCACUGCUCCCAGCAGAUCUCAGACCUCAGGACGUGAAGGUUAUUUUAGGGACAAGCUAACCAUGAAGUCUAUUUAGUGUAACAGCAAGAGCUGCUAAAAACGUGCACAGACAUUCCUUGUACAGCCUGAGUAUCCCUUAUCCAAAAUGCUUGGGACCAGAAGUGUUUUGGCGGCCGGGAACAGUGGCUCACGCCUGUAAUCCCAGCACUUUGGGAGGCCGAGGCGGGCGGAUCACGAGGUCAGGGGAUCGAGACCAUCCUGGCUAACACGGUGAAGACCCGUGUCUACUAAAAAAAAAAAAAAAAAAUUAGCUGGGCGCGGUGGCGGGCGCCUGUAGUCCCAGCUACUCUGGAGGCUGAGGCAGUAGAAUGGCGUGAACCCGGGAGGCGGAGCUUGCAGUGAGUCAAGAUCGUGCCACUGCACUCCAGCCUGGGCGACAGAGCGAGACUCUGUCUCAAAAAAAAAAGCUUUGGCUUUUUUUGGGGAAUAUUUGUACCAUAGUUAGCAGGUGAGCCUCCCAAAUUCCCACAUCCGAAAUCUGAAGUGUUCCAGUGAGUAUUUCCUUUUGUGCGGCAUGUCAGCUGCUCAAAAGUUUUGAAUUGGGGGUGUUUGGAUUUGGGAUACUUAGCCCGUAGUGCUGAGGAGAAAAUUUCUGUCUCUUCUAUUUUUCCUACACUUCCCAAAUUUCUUUAAAGAGUAUGAAUAAAUGCUAUUGGGUAAAAAGAAAUCUGUUUAAAACCUGUGAUCUUUAAAGACUUGACCAGGGUAUCCCACGCUUGAGGCACUGCCUAGGCCCAGUGAGCCAAGCCCAGCCCGAGUCGGCAGCGCGGCCCCGCCCCCGCAAGCCCCGCCCCAUGCCGAGGGCAUUUCCGGGCGCUCUAGGCAGCUCGGAGGACCCGUUCGGAAGACUGGCGGGGGACCCCAGGCGAACCCAAGGGUGGCGGGCUGUGAACUAGCACGGGGCUACGUUGUAGAGAGAGAGAUGGGGCGUCACGGAGGCAGGGGGUGCCAGGCAGGGCGCGGCUGCCAGAGGCCCAGAGGCCGAGCUGGGCCCUGCAGGUCUGAGGUGCAGGACCCGAUUCUGGCCCAAGCAGGGGCGUCCCACGGCUCGAGCUGCCCGUCCAGGUGGUGUCUGAGGAGAGCCUGGGCAGCGGCCUUGCAGAGGGCAGGCCAGCAGCUCCUGCUUUGAGGGCUUGGAGGAGAACAGAUUCCCGAACCAGGCCCAUGAUCAAUGUAUUUGGGUAUUUGAACUAAAUCCAGAUUUCCUGGCUUCCCCUGAGGCCUGCUGAAUCCCUUGGGGUGGGGCCUGGGAAUCUGCGUUUUCCAGUGGGCCUCUCAGGUAGUUGGGUGGUCCCUGAGUGGGUUCCCAUGACCCCAUGAAACAAGACCCUAGAAAACGCAAGGCAAAGCGGCCUGGUGAGUGGCCAAUGGUCUACAGGAACUGGAUGUGAUCAGAGCGAGACCUGCAUCAACUGGGCAGGGGAGGCGUGGAGCCAUACCUGAGGAAGAGACCCAGCCGGAACCCAGGGAAGAGCAGGCUGUGAAAACUGGGCAGAAACUUGCGGCGACUCGGAAGACACUGCCAGGAAACCCUCCCCGGGCCUCCUGUGGGGCUUGUAGCAGCCGCAGGGGUUGGCUCUCACCUUCUAGUCCCAGCCAGGUUGUCUUGGAGUCAGCUAAUGGGCAAGGCCCCUACCUCUCUUAGGAUCUGAGGAUGGGAGGGGCUGCGUUUUUCCAGAGGAUCUGCACGUGUGCAGGCUGAGUGUUGAGACUUGAUUGGUGUCAACUGGCACUGCCUGCCCAUGAUGCACAAAAGCUACUGUAAGAAACAGGGUCCAUGUCUCCAGGGAGCAGGACCCCGUUCUGAGGCCACAACCCCGAGGGCAGUCUCCGCCUGCAGAGUCCUCCCUCUCGCACCGGCUCACCUCGUGGUGAAUCCCUUGGCUACGGUUUGGUGUGAGAAAAGAGAUGGGUGUUUCACUCCCUGCUGCAUCCCUGGUGACGGCCCUGGCAUUUCGGGGCAUGAGAUCUUUGCUUAAAGGUUUUGCGGUGGUCACUGCACAGGGGGUGGGGGUGGGGUCCCUUGGUGCAAUUUAUCCGAUUCUGCUGCGUGGAUGACAUCCACAGUGUUCCUCUCCAGUGGGGAUUAUCUGAGACCUUUCCGCAUGCCCGCACCCACAGUCCGCUCCCUCACGGCAGCAUGAACUCAGGAGGCGGGCGUUCCCACAGUCAUUACAUUUGCAGGGCCUCUCUAUGUCCACUCUGAUGCCUGAGGACCAGCGCUUCCACGAAGGUGUGGCCACGUCCAGUGCUGCUCAUUGGCUUCUCUCCUGCGGGAAUGUUCUGAUCCCGAACGGAGCCUGAGCAUGCGCGAAACCCUUCCCACGUUCACAAGGUGCUUCUCCAGUGUUCCAUUACAUCUCACCUAUGCACACUACAUGCAUACGGUUUCCACCGGCUGUGCGUGUCCCUAGAAGUCACAUUCACGGCGUUUCUCCCUGGGAGGAAUUCUCCCGUGCAUGGCUGCUCUGAGACCAUUUGCACCUGCGGCCACGCGUGGGCUCCUCGAGGCUUACAAACCAGGCUGGACUCCUGAAGCCCUAGCUGCACUUGGCACUCGGCGAGGUUUUUCUACAAAAUCUCAUCUCAGCCAUCUGAGUCCUUCACCAUUUAUCUUAUGAAUCCGCUCGAACGUACAAGGAAGGCCUCUCUGCCCUCCUGCUCCAGGGAGGAGGUUUUGACCCUCAGCUCCACCUCUGCGGCUGGCCCGGUCUCCGCAAACCUUUUUCUGCUUGGCCAGCUGGUGCCAUGCUAGGCUUUCCCACUAGGGGCGCCAGAGAAAGCGCGCGAGGCUGCGGAGGAGAGAGGGGCACACUCUUUCCGGUUUGCUUCCGGUUUUUUCCUCAGGCUUCCGGUCUGUUUGGUGCCCUGGUCGCGUGUCUUCCGAACUCUGCUGCUUCGCCCCGGCAAGAGCACUUCCUUCCGCGGCUGCUAAAACUGGUGCGCGGGUUCCCAACUUCGCAGAAGAGCUUCAUCGGCCCCCCGCUAGAGACCUCAGACCGCAGCCAUCGACGCCUCGCCUCGGGGAUCUGUCCCCACCCUCGGGGCCAGCUCACCAUGAGUCAGGCCCUGUGCUAGGUGCUGGGAUGAAGCAGUGACUGACACAGGCCUGGACCUGUCCUUGGGAAGAGUGCGUCUGUGACACAGAUACUGUGCCAUGUGGCAAAGUAAGCGCGUGGGACAGCAGAGCCUUGUUUGCCAUUAAAGUAAUAUCACAAGUCUGUUAAGGUUGGAGAAUCAAGUGAACAUGCUGAAAAGUUAUGGGGAAUGUAGUCUCAUAGCUGGGGGAGCUGGGGGCCUUGUCAAUUGGUUCCCCCAGUCUGGAGAGCAAUCUGAGAGUAAGUAGUGACACUGUGUGUGCUGAGUGUGUCUGUGGGGGUGUUUUUGACUUGAAUGGAGACAUCAGCUCUUUGUGGGUCUCAAGUCUACUGGCUUUCAAUCAGCUCUUCUGCUUGACAGCUGCAGGUCUUGGGACUGCCCAGCCCCCAUAACCCUGUGAGUGCAUUCCUGAUAAUAACCCUCUUUCUCUUGUCCUCCCCCACCCCACAUCAUUGGUUCUGUUUCUCUGGAGAACCAUAAUACAUCAUUUACUAAUCAGGAAAUAGAUUCAGAGACAUUAAUAACUCAUCCAACCUCACAGUUAACUGUAGAGUUGGGCUUGAAAUUCCAAGGUCGAUUUUCUUAGCCAAUACACCAUGCUACAUAUAUGUAUGUAAAAAUAAAAACGCUUGUGAACUGAAAAGGGUCCAAACUUAAGCUCAUUUUGGUCCUUAAUUGCUAAUCCAUAGGCAUGUUUUGGUCCUUAAUUGCUAAUCCAUAAGCAUGUUUCGGUCCUUAUUUGCUAAUCCAUAGGCCUGCACACCUGCCCCCAAGGCCAUGG
rnacentral:lncRNA from 1 species